rnacentral:rRNA from 1 species
CCUACGGGAGACAGCAGUGGGGAAUAUUGCGCAAGGGGCGAAAGCCUGACGCAGCGACGCCGCGUGAGGGAUGAAGGUCUUCGGAUCGUAAACCUCUGUCAGCAGGGAAGAACGGUCACGGGGCUAAGCAGCAGUGAAUUGACGGUACCUGCAAAGGAAGCACCGGCUAACUCCGUGCCAGCAGCCGCGGUAAGACGGAGGGUGCGAGCGUUAAUCGGAAUUACUGGGCGUAAAGCGCUCGUAGGCGGUAUGUCAAGUCAAGGAUGAAAUCCCCGCGCUCAACGUGGGAACUGCCUUUUAAACUGGCAACCUGGCGUGUGUGAGCGGAUAGUGGCAUUCCAGGUGU